rnacentral:rRNA from 1 species
UACAGAGACCUCAAACGUUAUCCGGAAUCAUUGGGCGUAAAGCGUACCGAUAGGUGGUUUUACAAGUCAGAAGUGAAAUCUUUAAGCUUAACUUAGAGACUGUCUUUUGAAACUGUAAAACUAGAGGGGCAAAGAGGAAGCUGGAACGAACGGUGUAGUAGUGAAAUGCGUUGAUAUCGUUCGGAACACCAAUAGCGUAGGCAGGCUUCUGGGUGCCACCUGACACUGCUAGGACGAAAGCGUGGGGAGCGAUAAGG